GAGUGGUCGACGCGCACGUCAAUCAAACAGCUGUUAGACGGACGGCCCCACCUCCUCUGCUGCCGCGGGGCGUGCUGGGAGCUGUAGUUCCGCGCGGGCGUGGGGCCUAAGCGGGGCUGUAGAGGCCCGCGGAGUUCUCUCGCCACCCCUUGGGAAAGGUCUCCUGGUCCUCGGGUUAAUUCGGCCCUGACAGACCCCGAAAGGCGCGGCUGAAGCCAGACCGUGCUUUUGCUGUGUUCUCCGGAGCUGUUGUACCUGGAGGUGGAGUGUGCGUGAGCUUUGGGGUGGGGUUCCCUAGCCCCCCCCCCUUCCCCUUCCCCCUCCCCGUCUUCUGGAAACGUUUUGCAGAAUCUCAGAUUCGUGGAAUCAAUUAGGUCGGGAAAGACCUUCGAGAUCAUCAACUCUGACUGAUCACUGAACACCACCAUGUCAACCAGAGUGUUAUAAACUGCUCGUGCAGAAGGAACACUUAAUAGAUCUGUGUGGUGGUUACUGCACCUUGUAACAAUCCAGUUCCUUCAGAAACAUUGUGCAGCUUUUAUAUCGAGGGCGAAAACCAACACCAUACGUGGCAGACCACCAGGGGUUCCUAAAGACCCUCAAGAGGCCCCUCUGAGGCUCACUGGGCAAACCCAGGCAACUUCAUAUCUAACACUUCUCUGAUUAAUAUUACACCACAAUAUAAGGAAGAUAUUAAACUAAUAGAGGGCAUCCAAAGGAGGGUGACAAAUAUGGUGAAGUGCCUUGAGGGGAAGCCGUGUGAGUAACAGCUGAGGGCACUUGCUCUGUGCAGCCUGGAGAAGAGGAGCCUGAGAAGACAGAGACCUCAUUGCAGUUACAGCUUCUUCAUGAGGGGAAGAGGAGGGACAGGCACUGAUUUCUGCUCUUUGGUUUAAAAUCCGUUCAUCUUUCAUGGGUCUUUCACUGGACUGGGACUUUUUCUUUUCUUCUUGCCUGAAAAGUCAAAAAGAAACAAUGAGAAGGAUGCCAUAAUGACAAUAUCUGGAGUAUUUCAAUCAUGACAUGACAUUCUCUAGGAAAAAAAAACAUGCAAAACUUGGGAUAAUACUGCAGCUCUUUGCUUGUGUGAACUAUGGAUUAUAUGAUCAUUAGUAUUCAUCUUGAUUGCUGUAUUCCUUGGCAAAUAAAAUAUUUUUUUUCUGUGUAAUGCAAAUGCCCAGAUACAGAAUAAAUUGAAUGGUGAUGUUUUAAUUAAGGUUAGUUGCUCUGUGUGAGCAUAAAUUGAUAGCAGCAUAUGCAGCCUAAAAGUAAGGCAUAGCAGAGACAUUAUUGGAUAGUCUUCCUUCCCCCUCAUUUCUAUUGUAGCCAAUUUUGUGUCCUCUGGAAUUUACAUUUUAUCUGGUUUUAAAUACUUUCACCCAGUUGGCCCAAUUUACUCACAACUUCUCCAUGUAGGUUACACCAUGUUACAGAGUGACUCACUUCAUAUCCAACUUUCUCUUUUAUUCAACAUUACCCUCGAAUUUAGCCUAGUAAGGUCAAAUUGUAGAGUUAAUAUUAUGUCAUAAGCAGCUGUGAUUCUCUGGCUAAAUUCAGAACUAAAGGAAGUGUCAGAUCUUCCAAGAAAUGUACACAAUUGUAUAGCCAUGUUAGAUCUGCUAGGAGAAGCUGGCAAAGGAUAGUUUAAUAAAAUGUCUUUUUAUAUUU